AGGUCUUGUUGAGGGAAAUUUCUUAGCAUUCCCUUAUAUCUCUCCCACGCUUCAUACAAAGAUUCUCUAUCGUUUUGUUGAAAAUUAGCAAUGUUCUUCUUCAACCU